UAUACUUACGAACGUUCGCCUAAGACAGUAGGCAUCCGAAACUAAUGGAUUUAAUGCGGGAAGCGCCUACCGAGGUUUUUGGAUUUAAGAUUUCAGAUAUUAGAUGUAAGAAAAUAAAACCUGAAGUCAUACAUCUUAGAUCUUGCAUCUAACAAAACUCCUCGGUAGAAGGAGUUUUUUUAUGCCGCA
rfam:Candidatus Woykebacteria bacterium RIFCSPHIGHO2_01_FTLL_39_12 rifcsphigho2_01_scaffold_8781, whole genome shotgun sequence.